CAUUACGUUAGUAUAAAUAGUACAUCUGCCUUCCAAGCAGAAAGCUUAAAA
rnacentral:tRNA from 1 species